rnacentral:rRNA from 1 species
UGGGGAAUUUUGGACAAUGGGCGAAAGCCUGAUCCAGCAAUGCCGCGUGUGUGAAGAAGGCCUUCGGGUUGUAAAGCACUUUUGUCCGGAAAGAAAUCCUUGGCUCUAAUACAGUCGGGGGAUGACGGUACCGGAAGAAUAAGCACCGGCUAACUACGUGCCAGCAGCCGCGGUAAUACGUAGGGUGCAAGCGUUAAUCGGAAUUACUGGGCGUAAAGCGUGCGCAGGCGGUUUGCUAAGACCGAUGUGAAAUCCCCGGGCUCAACCUGGGAACUGCAUUGGUGACUGGCAGGCUAGAGUAUGGCAGAGGGGGGUAGAAUUCCACGUGUAGCAGUGAAAUGCGUAGAGAUGUGGAGGAAUACCGAUGGCGAAGGCAGCCCCCUGGGCCAAUACUGACGCUCAUGCACGAAAGCGUGGGGAGCAAAACAGGAUUAGAUACCCUGGUAGUCCACGCCCUAAACGAUGUCAACUAGUUGUUGGGGAUUCAUUUCCUUAGUAACGUAGCUAACGCGUGAAGUUGACCGCCUGGGGAGUACGUCGCAAGAUUAAAACUCAAAUGAAUUGACGGGGUCAUAGCUGUUUCCU